GGUAGUGCCCAGUGGUAGAGCACAUGCUUAGCAUGCUUGAGGCCCUGAGUUCAAUACCCAGCACCA
rnacentral:tRNA from 1 species